UGUCUGCCUGGGAAUGCUUCCCCUACACAGUAUUGUAAAAGCAAAACUCGUUAAUGGAAUUCUAAUAUAAGAUAUAAUGAAAAGUCUAAG